GAUCCUGGCUCAGGAUGAACGCUAGCGACAGGCUUAACACAUGCAAGUCGAGGGGCAGCAUAAAAGUAGCAAUACUUGGUGGCGACCGGCGCACGGGUGAGUAACGCGUAUGCAACCUACCUAUCGAGAGGGGAAUAACCCGGCGAAAGUCGGACUAAUACCGCGUAAAACAGGGGCACCGCAUGGUGAUAUUUGUUAAAGAAAUUCGCUGAUAGAUGGGCAUGCGUUCCAUUAGGUAGUUGGUGAGGUAACGGCUCACCAAGCCGACGAUGGAUAGGGGAACUGAGAGGUUGGUCCCCCACACUGGUACUGAGACACGGACCAGACUCCUACGGGAGGCAGCAGUGAGGAAUAUUGGUCAAUGGGCGGGAGCCUGAACCAGCCAAGUCGCCGUGAAGGAAGAAGGAUCUAUGGUUCGUAAACUUCUUUUGCAGGGGAAUAAAGUGCAGGACGUGUCCUGUUUUGUAUGUACCCUGAGAAUAAGGAUCGGCUAACUCCGUGCCAGCCGCGGC
rnacentral:rRNA from 1 species